UCAGAACGUCGCGAGACAGUUCGGUCCCUAUCUGCCGUGGGUGUAGGAGAAUUGAGAGGAUCUGUCCCUAGUACGAGAGGACCGGGAUGGACGUACCUCUGGUGGACCUGUUGUGGCGCCAGCCGCAUUGCAGGGUAGCUAUGUACGGACGGGAUAACCGCUGAAAGCAUCUAAGCGGGAAGCCUCCCUUGAGAUAAGCAAUCUUCGAACCGUCAUAGACCAUGACGUUGAUAGGCCGGGUGUGGAAGCGCAGUAAUGUGUGGAGCUAACCGGUCCUAAUAGUUCUUU
rnacentral:rRNA from 13 species